rnacentral:rRNA from 1 species
UACGGGGGGGGCAAGCGUUGCUCGGAAUCACUGGGCGUAAAGCGCACGUAGGCGGAUCUUUAAGUCAGGGGUGAAAUCCUGGAGCUCAACUCCAGAACUGCCUUUGAUACUGGGGAUCUCGAGUCCGGAAGAGGUGAGUGGAACUCCGAGUGUAGAGGUGAAAUUCGUAGAUAUUCGGAAGAACACCAGUGGCGAAGGCGGCUCACUGGUCCGGUACUGACGCUGAGGUGCGAAAGCAUGGGGAGCGAACAGG